rnacentral:rRNA from 1 species
AGCGCAGGAGUGACGCAUCAGGGCAGCCGGCCGCGGAGGUGGUUUUCCGUGGUCAAGCGUUCGAGCCCGUCCCGCAGGCAAAUCCGCGGGGCGUCGGGGCGAGGCGUGAUGAUGGGGGCCUUACGGCCCGAAUCCGGUGAUCCGUGGUGCCGAGAAAAGCUUCGGCGCCAGGCGCGUUGCCGCCCGUACCCCAAACCGACACUGGUGGUCAGGUAGAGAAUACCAAAGCGAUCGAGCGAAUCCUGGUCAAGGAACUCGGCAAAUUGCUCCCGUGCCUUCGGCAUAAGGGAGACCCCCUGCGGUGAUGAGCGGCGGGGGGUGGCACAGGCCAGGGGGUAGCGACUGUUUACCAAAAACACAGGAGCGUGCGAAGGCGCAAGCCGCUGUAUACGCCCUGACGCCUGCCCGGUGCCGGAAGGUUAAGAGGAUCCGUCAGCUUUCUGCGAAGCGGUGAAUUCAAGCCCCGGUAAACGGCGGUGGUAACUAUAACCAUCCUAAGGUAGCGAAAUUCCUUGUCGGGUAAGUUCCGACCUGCACGAAUGGCGUAACGACUUCCCCACUGUCUCGACCAGGAGCUCGGCGAAAUUGCAGUACGAGUAAAGAUGCUCGUUAAGCGCAGAAGGACGAAAAGACCCCGGGACCUUUACUAUACCUUGGUAUUGGCAUUAGGCGCGGAUUGUGUAGCAUAGGCGGGAGGCUUCGAGGCGGGUGCGCCAGCAUCCGCGGAGCCGCAAGGUGAAAUACCGCUCUGUUCUCGUUUGAUGUCUAACCUCGAACAGUCAUCCUGUUCAGGGACAGUGCCUGGCGGGUAGUUCAACUGGGGCGGUUGCCUCCCAAAGAGUAACGGAGGCGCUCAAAGGUCCGCUCGGCCCGGUUGGCAAUCGGGUGUCGAGUGUAAUCGCACAAGCGGGCUUGACUGCGAGAUCGACGGAUCGAGCAGGGACGAAAGUCGGAGAUAGUGAUCCGGUGCCGGCGCACGGGCGCGGCAUCGCUCAACGGAUAAAAGGUACCCCGGGGAUAACAGGCUGAUCAUUCCCAAGAGUCCAUAUCGACGGGAUGGUUUGGCACCUCGAUGUCGGCUCGUCGCAUCCUGGGGCUGGAGCAGGUCCCAAGGGUUCGGCUGUUCGCCGAUCAAAGCGGCACGCGAGCUGGGUUCAGAACGUCGUGAGACAGUUUGGUCUCUAUCCUCUGCGCUCGUUGGAAUCUUGAGGAGGCCUGCCCAUAGUACGAGAGGACCUGGGUGGACGAACCUCUGGUAUGCCGGUCGUCACGCCAGUGGCGCGGCCGGUUGGCUACGUUCGGAAGGGAUAACCGCUGAAAGCAUCUAAGCGGGAAGCCUUCUCCAAGAUAAGGAUUCCAUGCGGCCCCGGGCCGCUGAAGACCCCAUGCAGAACACGUGGUCGAUAGGCCGGACGUGGAAGCCCCGCGAGGGGUGGAGCCGACCGGUACUAAUGGUCGAGAGU